CCUUCGGGUUGUAAACCGCUUUUGUCAGGGAAGAAAAGCUCUGGGUCAAUACCUCGGAGUCAUGACGGUACCUGAAGAAUAAGCACCGGCUAACUACGUGC
rnacentral:rRNA from 1 species